rnacentral:rRNA from 1 species
GACGAACGCUGGCGGCGUGCCUAAUACAUGCAAGUUGAGCGCUGAAGGUUGGUACUUGUACCAACUGGAUGAGCAGCGAACGGGUGAGUAACGCGUGGGGAAUCUGCCUUUGAGCGGGGGACAACAUUUGGAAACGAAUGCUAAUACCGCAUAAAAACUUUAAACACAAGUUUUAAGUUUGAAAGAUGCAAUUGCAUCACUCAAAGAUGAUCCCGCGUUGUAUUAGCUAGUUGGUGAGGUAAAGGCUCACCAAGGCGAUGAUACAUAGCCGACCUGAGAGGGUGAUAGGACACAUUGGGACUGAGACACGGCCCAAACUCCUACGGGAGGAAGCAGUAGGGAAUCUUCGGCAAUGGACGAAAGUCUGACCGAGCAACGCCGCGUGAGUGAAGAAGGUUUUCGGAUCGUAAAACUCUGUUGGUAGAGAAGAACGUUGGUGAGAGUGGAAAGCUCAUCAAGUGACGGUAACUACCCAGAAAGGGACGGCUAACUACGUG